rnacentral:lncRNA from 10 species
AGCUGUCCCCGGGCUGCCUGGGAGUCACUGGGGAGUCCUAGCCCGCCCUUGGGCCUAGGGCUCCCUGAUGCGGCCUCCACUCUUCGCAGGGCCAGGGGGCGAGGAAGGAGGAGGGAGGGAAGAGGGAAGCUGGGGAGUGGGAGAGCGUCCUCCACGACCGCUUGGGUCCUCCGCGGGGCAGCCUCGGGGAGGGUGGCUGCAGGGCCCGGAGUCGCCUGGAUCGCAGCGCCAUCUCGUGGCUGCUGGCAGGUCUGCCUUGGGCCCUCUUGGCACAAGGCAAGGAAACAGGAGCUCUUCCCAUCAGUGACAGGUGCCCGCCGGCCCGCACCCAGGAGAAUGCUCCAGUGUCACCAGUGACUCCUGCUCCCACAUCUGCCUACAGGAAGCCCUCUUGGAACAAAAGCAUCUCACUUCUGGGAGGCAUCAAGUAUGUGCAUCACCAGCAGGACAGACUUGCAGCGCCUAUUCUGAGUGAAAAAGAGAAUCUUUUGGUGCUACCCUCAACCAACCUCAUCCUUUCUCCACUUGGAUUCUUCUCAACAUUGACCCUCUUGAAAAGAUCAUAAAAACUCACUUUAAGGUGUAUAUGAGGAGUUUUGUCUCCCAGGAAGGUUUGCAUUGUAUCUGUAAUGGUGGAGUCUCAGGCAUUGACUUCCCAGGUGAAGGAAGGGUGAUUUUGGGAUGGGGGGGCCUUCCUGAAACCUCUGAAGAAACAGCACACCAGCACCUCUGCCAGCCAGCUGCAUCCAGGAUCAAUGUUCCCCCUAGUUCUGGUUCACUCUUUUGAAGCUUUCCAAGUCCCAGAAGUGAAUUCUUAGCCUUUCUUUGAGCUCUCUUUGGUCCAGGCACAGCUGUAGGAAAAAUUGUACAGUGGCAUGAAAAAAGUGAAGGGUUUAGUGUAGUAAAUUCUGCAAAUUUUCUUUUAAAAAAAACUGCAUUUUAAAAAAUAAAAAUACUAUGUCCUAUUGUAAGGUAAAUGUAUUUCUACAUAUGCAUGUACACAAAUGUACUUAAGGGAUAAUUCAGUUGAAAGUCGUUAUAGAUCUUUACUGUAAAAAUCCUUGGUUUACCCAAAUUAAUGUUUCUCCUGAAAAUGAGAAUUCUUGAAUUACAUUGGAUUUGGGGGAACAACUGCUAAUCUAUAGGACGUGAGCAUCUGGUAGGUGCCCAAUAUAUUUUUUAUACACCUGCAUAUAAAGUGCAAAUACUCUGGGCUGGGCAACAUGGUUUUCAGUUUUUGCACAUGUGCACACACACGUGUGUGUAUGUGGUAAUACGUUCUUAUGCGUUCUAUCCAAAUGGUAUUCAGAAACAAUACUGUGGCUUUAUUUGAUGCACUUGUAUUUUUUUCCAUUAUGGUUGGUUUUGAAUACACUCACAAUUACUGUUUUCAAAGCAGUUCCCAUUUCACCCUCUAUAAAUGUAGAUUUAUACAGUGGUGAAAUUUAUACAGUGGUGAUUUCACAGUGAUGAAAAUUGACACUAAAGAGCUGUUCAGCCCUGUUCAUCUCACCUGCUGACUACAGGUGUACAGGAAGAGUGCUGAUUUCCUCUGUGCCAGCCUGGACAUGGCUGGUUACCCAGACUGGGCUUCCAAGGCAAACUGGUUCUAGUUUGUAAACUGUAAAUGGAAAUGGCUUUACUUCCUUACAUAUACACUUUCUAAAUAAAGCUCUAAAAGGUGGAAAAAAAGAGAAAAAAGAAAAAAGUAAAGGGCAUGAAACCAGCCAGAAACUGCAAAAAGUACUCAUCCAUGAGAGGAAGAGGACAUUGCUGCCAGGCUGGUGGGGAAGCAGGAGAUCCUAGAGACUGAGGGAGGCUGAAAAGUGGAACCCAGGGCAAAGGUUUGUGUGCGCCCAUGUGCACACACACAUGCACACACUCAUGGAUACAACAGGAGCUCCAACAGAAAGAGCUAGGAACACAGCUCUGGCAUCUUAUGUGUCUCAGUCCACAGCCUUGCCCAGGCCCAGCAGAGGCUCACUCUGCCCCUUCUUAUUUGCCCCUUUGCCCAUGAUUCUCAGAUGCCAGAAUCCAGGCUCUAUCCCCAUGGCUCCCUGUGAAAUGUCCUGGGCACCUCCUCAGGGUGCUGGGGAGACCACCAUAGGAAAAGGCUUAUCACAGGAUAAGACUCAGGAGGCCUGGGUUCUCCCUCUGCUUCUGCCUCCAUAUCCAACUCAGAUUCUUCUAUUACAAAGAAACUCAAAGUUCUCCCAGAUCUCUUCCAGCUCCAACAACAGAUGAUUAUUUUAGAAAAUAGUGAAACUCAGAGAAUCAGUUUAUCAGAAUGUUUUGGCUGCAAAUAACAAAGCACUUAGUAUAAGAGAACUAAAUGACGAGGGUUGAUUCAUCAGAGAAAACCUGCAGUUCAGAGGGAGGUGAUUCCAGGGUCAUUGUGGUGGCUCCGAGAGAUCAAGG